rnacentral:rRNA from 1 species
UUCCGGUUGAUCCUGCCGGAGGUCACUGCUAUUGGGAUUCGGCUAAGCCAUGCAAGCGGAGGGCGCGGUCGAAAGAUCGUGGCCCCGCACACUGCUCAGUAACACGUAGUUAACCUACCCUUGGGACGGGGACAACCUCGGGAAACUGAGGCUAAUCCCCGAUAGGUGAGGGACGCUGGAAUGCCUCCUCGCCCAAAGCUCCGGCGCCCAAGGAUGGGACUGCGGUCUAUCAGGCUGUUGGUGGUGUAACGGACCACCAAACCUACGACGGGUACGGGCGAUGGGAGUCGGAGCCCGGAGAUGGGGACUGAGACAAGGCCCCAGGCCCUACGGGGCGCAGCAGGCGCGAAAACUCCGCAAUGCGCGCAAGCGUGACGGGGGAAUCCCAAGUGCCGUUGGCCUUAUGAUCGACGGUUUUUAGGAAGUCUAAGAAGCUUCCAGAAUAAGGGCUGGGCAAGACUGGUGCCAGCCGCCGCGGUAACACCAGCAGCCCAAGUGGUGACCACGAUUAUUGGGCCUAAAGCGCUCGUAGCCGGAUCAGCAAGUCCCUUGUGAAAUCGGGCCGCCUAACGGUCCGGCGUGCAAGGGAUACUGUUGGUCUUGAGGCCGGGAGAGGUCGGAGGUACUCCUGGGGUAGCGGUGAAAUGCUCUAAUCCUAGGGGGACCACCAGUGGCGAAGGCGUCCGACCAGAACGGACCUGACGGUGAGGGGCGAGGGCUAGGGGAGCGAACGGGAUUAGAUACCCCGGUAGUCCUAGCUGUAAAGCAUGCGGGCCAGGUGUCUAGCGCUCCUUGAGGGCGCUAGGUGCCGGAGGGAAGCCGUAAGCCCGCCGCCUGGGAAGUACGGCCGCAAGGCUGAAACUUAAAGAAAUUGGCGGGGGAGCACAACAGGAGUGGGACCUGCGGUUCAAUUGGACUCAACGCCGG